rnacentral:rRNA from 1 species
AGUGAACGCUGGCGGUAGGCCUAACACAUGCAAGUCGAACGGCAGCACAGUAAGAGCUUGCUCUUACGGGUGGCGAGUGGCGGACGGGUGAGGAAUACAUCGGAAUCUACUUUUUCGUGGGGGAUAACGUAGAGAAACUUACGCUAAUACCGCAUACGACCUACGGGUGAAAGCAGGGGAUCUUCGGACCUUGCGCGAUUGAAUGAGCCGAUGUCGGAUUAGCUAGUUGGCGGGGUAAAGGCCCACCAAGGCGACGAUCCGUAGCUGGUCUGAGAGGAUGAUCAGCCACACUGGAACUGAGACACGGUCCAGACUCCUACGGGAGGCAGCAGUGGGGAAUAUUGGACAAUGGGCGCAAGCCUGAUCCAGCCAUACCGCGUGGGCGAAGAAGGCCUUCGGGUUGUAAAGCCCUUUUGUUGGGAAAGAAAAGCAGCAGGUUAAUACCCCGCUGUUCUGACGGUACCCAAAGAAUAAGCACCGGCUAACUUCGUG